AGUGACGUACGGGUGCGUAACACGUAUGCAACCUACCCUUUACAGGCGGAUAGCUCGGGGAAACUCGAAUUAACCCGCCAUAAGAUCAUAGAGUGGCAUCACUUAGUGAUUAAAUUCCAAGAGGUAAAGGAUGGGCAUGCGUCUGAUUAGUUAGUUGGUGCGGGUAACGGCCCACCAAGACGAUGAUCAGUAGGGGAACUGAGAGGUUGAUCCCCCACACUGGCACUGAGAUACGGGCCAGACUCCUACGGGAGGCAGCAGUAGGGAAUAUUGGUCAAUGGAUGGAAGUCUGAACCAGCCAUGCCGCGUGCAGGAAGAAGGCCUUCUGGGUUGUAAACUGCUUUUGCCAGGGGCUAAAAAGCUCAUGCGUGAGAAAUUGAAAGUACCUGGUGAAUAAGCCACGGCUAACUACGUGCCAGCAGCCGCGGUAAUACGUAGGUGGCAAGCGUUGUCCGGAUUUAUUGGGUUUAAAGGGUGCGUAGGCGGCUUUGUAAGUCAGUGGUGAAAUAUGGCAGCUCAACUGUCAGGGUGCCAUUGAUACUGCAGAGCUUGAGUACAGAUGAGGUAGGCGGAAUUGACGGUGUAGCGGUGAAAUGCUUAGAUAUCGUCAAGAACACCGAUAGCGAAGGCAGCUUACUGGGCUGUAACUGACGCUGAGGCACGAAAGUGUGGGGAUCAAACAGGAUUAGAUACCCUGGUAGUCCACACUGU
rnacentral:rRNA from 1 species